GAUGAACGCUGGCGGCGCGCCUAAUACAUGCAAGUCGAGCGAACAGACGAGGAGCUUGCUCCUUCGACGUUAGCGGCGGACGGGUGAGUAACACGUAGGUAACCUACCUAUAAGACUGGGAUAACUUCGGGAAACCGGAGCUAAUACCGGAUAAUAUUUCGAACCGCAUGGUUCGAUAGUGAAAGAUGGCUUUGCUAUCACUUAUAGAUGGACCUGCGCCGUAUUAGCUAGUUGGUAAGGUAACGGCUUACCAAGGCAACGAUACGUAGCCGACCUGAGAGGGUGAUCAGCCACACUGGAACUGAGACACGGUCCAGACUCCUACGGGAGGCAGCAGUAGGGAAUAUUCCGCAAUGGGCGAAAGCCUGACGGAGCAACGCCGCGUGAGUGAUGAAGGUCUUCGGAUCGUAAAACUCUGUUAUUAGGGAAGAACAAAAGUGUAAGUAACUGUGCACGUCUUGACGGUACCUAAUCAGAAAGCCACGGCUAACUACGUG
rnacentral:rRNA from 1 species